CCUACGGGAGGCAGCAGUAGGGAAUAUUGCUCAAUGGGGGAAACCCUGACGCAGCAACGCCGCGUGGAGGAUGAAGGUUUUCGGAUUGUAAACUCCUUUUGUUAGAGAAGAUAAUGACGGUAUCUAACGAAUAAGCACUGGCUAAUUCCGUGCCAGCAGCCGCGGUAAUACGGCGGGUGCAAGCGUUACUCGGAAUCACUGGGCGUAAAGAGCGCGUAGGCGGGUUAGCAAGUCAGAUGUGAAAUCCUAUGGCUUAACCAUAGAACUGCAUUUGAAACUGUUAUUCUUGAGUAUAGGAGAGGUAGGUGGAAUUCUUGGUGUAGGGGUGAAAUGCGUAGAGAUCAAGAGGAAUACUCAUUGCGAAGGCGACCUGCUAGAACAUAACUGACGCUGAUGCGCGAAAGCGUGGGGAGCAAACAGGAUUAGAUACCCCUGUAGUC
rnacentral:rRNA from 1 species